UCUACCCGUCCCUUGUGGUCAUUGUGGAAUUUUUUUUUUAUGUGUGAUUUUUUUGUUUAUCUGAUUUUAUUUGUUUCUCUUUCGUUUACCUGGGAUCAAUCAUGGAGAAGCUGCUUAACUUCACCAACGUUUAUGUUCGCCGCCAAAGAGAAGAAUUGUACAGUGUGAAGUUAUUAGAUAUGUAUCUCCGUCAAGGCCCCCUUUCUCAUCUUUUUUUAGUGAAAUUUUAUAGUCAAUGUGGAAAUUUUCAUUCAUUGGUUAUGCCCUGUCUCCUUUUUGUUUUGAGAUCAACGAGUAAUUUAGGGUUUUUAUUGUUCUCCCCCCUGUCUACAGGAAGCAGUCGUGGCUUUGGAUUCAGGGCAAUUGUGGGAAAAAGGAAAAAAAGAAUUGUACAUUGUGGGUUGUUCGGAUCGAUUAUCGAUCGAGAAGAAAUUGGAUACUUUCACAAAGGCCUGGAAGAUUUAAGCAAAUAGCUCUUUCUUUGACAAGUUGGUUAGUAAAGGUAGCAGGUCGGGGCCAUGACAGAGCAUUUUGGUUGUUUCUUUCUUCAUGGAGUGAUUGAGGACAAAGAUGAAAAUACCAUUUGUAUUGUCCGGUAAAAUCCGAUUGAUCACCCUUGUUUAAAAGUGCAAAUGGAAAGGCUGCAUUUAUACCUGGAGUGGAGAAUAAACUAGAGACUCAGAAUUUUGAGAAGAUUGAAGAGGAAAACUUAUUAUCUGGCAAUCAUGUGCAAACUUUUUCAAGAGAAUGUCCUUGAAGAAAGACUUGGAUAAACACAACUAGCAUUAGAUUUCAACUUCAAUCCUAAAGAUUGCUAUUAAAUGCGGGUUUUCCACUUGGGACGGAAGGCAUUUCUUGAAGCAUUUUUUGUUUCUUCGCUGCAGGGGCUUUUCUGCCGAGCUAGGUGCCGAACCUAAACCCUUAACAGAUUCAGCCCAGUCCUCGUCAUUGCCAGGGGUCAGUUUUAUGACAAAGGAAGGAACAUGACAUUAUGAUCACGUGAUUGUUUGAUGGUUGUCUGACUGUGCACUGCUGCGGACUUAGGAGCAACGAGCAGGCUGUAUGUUUGGACAAAGAGGAGAAGAAGGAUGCGGCAAUACUUGAAGGUUUCUAACAACUGAGUAUUUGAAAAGAGAGCAUAUCAUCGACAAAGUAACCUAGUAAUAGCAAUAGGAGUCAAUUUCUUCAAGCAAAGAGAUGGACUAAGCAGGCAGCCUGAAAUCCAUGUUCUAGGUUGUGGUGAGAGAAUUGGACUAUGGGCUGACAUUUGGUUUUCAUUUAUCGUAGAACUAUCAUCCUUGUUGAAGUCCUUCAAGUUAUGAAUCUAGAAGGCUAAAGCAAGAAGCUAAACCAGAAACCAACUGGGCCGCAGGCGUUGAAAGUAACCGCUUUCAUGCUCAACUCAAAGUCUGUUAAGGUUAAUUGGAAAUGUUUCUGGCAUUUGAAGAUUCAUCCUGAUAGACAGACAUUGUAUUGGAGUGACACCUGGCUAAAGAGUAAAGAGUAGUCAAGAUUAUGGCAGGGCAGUUGUUGCAUAAUCCCUGCAAGAUGAAUAACAACAGCAGUAUUAGGUAGCUAUUGGGUUGCCUGAUAAAAAAGCCAGUCAGUCGAUAAUUCAAAUUGUCAGAGACUCAGAGUCAUGUCACUCCACGAAAAGUCCCCCAGGAAUCAAAUUAAGGGCAGUGUCACAUUAUCCUACCCAUGUUUUAAGUGCAGUGCCACUUUUUCUCCUACCCUCGAAGAAAGAAAAUUCGUGAAGGAUAAUGUGUGAUCAACUAUGAGCUCCCAUCAUGCCUCUGCUGAACAAGUACGACAAAACAAUGAGUUUGUGUGAAAAAAAUGGGGUCUGAAUCACUGCUUUUGACUAUUCAAAGUCGCGAUGAAGUGAGACUAAGUCUUGAAAUUCCAAAUUUGGAUCCUACGUCAGAUGGAUAAAUGGGUACUGGCUGUUGGUGAAAUUCUCCUCAAACCAGCAAGUAUGAACAAUCUUAGCCUUUCUUUCAGCGACUGUGGGCCCAUUUCGGUAUAUUUGUUAUUGCUGACUCGAGAAGAGAGUACCGGUUCAGUCGCUCUUACGUUUUGCCUGUGGUGUCUUCGCCGUCUUCUGCAUAUACUCUUUAUGUCAUGUUCUAAUGGCAAAAAGAUCCUAUGUGUUUGGCUCAAUGUAGCAGUUAAAAGCAUUUUUUAUUGAGGUUUGUAACCAUAGAUGAGUCAUGAGACCCCAGCAUGAACUAAAAUUGCUCUCCUUGUUGGAAAUGCGUUUUGCCCUUAUGUGCCGUAAAAUUAUUUAA